UUCUAUUCAACACAGUACUGGAAGCUGAGGCAGAGCAAUUUGGCAAGAAAAAGAAAUAAAAGACAUCCAAAUUAGACAGGAAGAAGCAAAAUUAUUUGUUCACAAAUGAUAU